GGGAGGGGCGUGGCCGAGCCCGGGCUGGACCCCUGACGUCACCCACUCCCGGACCGCGAAGCUGCAGCCGAAGCGGGGAAGCCUCGGGAAAGCCAGAUGGGCGUCCGUCGUCUUUCCUGCAGCCGGUGGGCGUGAUCCACCGCCGUGCCCAGGCCUCCGGCUCCCUAGCACCCAACCUUUGGGAGUCCCGCUGCUGUCGAGAAAAGGGUGAACUACUUUUUUUUGGAUGACAAGUCUGUCAUAAGAGCACAUACAGAUUGGUCAACAGCCAUACAGACC
rnacentral:lncRNA from 1 species